GCGUCGGCGAAAAAGUGAAAAUAAAACAAAACGAAAAAAAAUAAAAAAUAAAAAAUUAAAAUAAAAAGCUAAAAUAAAAAUGGACACAGACAACAGCAGUGUGUUGAACUGGCUGAUUUAUUGCAGUAAAUGUGGCAUUAUAUAUGCUAGUGAUUUCCUCGGAGCAUACGUCAACUAUGUUUUUCUAACAUUACCUAACUUUGAAAAUGUUCCUAUGUAUAAACGACCUUUAAGAAAUAACAUGGUGAUUUUCCCCUAACUUUCCCGCAUACCCUUUGAUUAUAGAUUAAUUUCUUACAUUAUUCCAUUAUGCAUCUGCGUUUAUCUAUAAUCUACAAAGCAUUUGCUUUGCUGUUCUCGUGAAAGGCCCUCCAUUUCUCAACACCUCAAGUGGAACAGUUACAGGGACAUGACCUCCUAACCACAUGAGGCCAGAACAACAAUGUGUCUGCUUCGGUCCGAGGUGCCAGAAAGGGGCCGAAAAAGCCUUAGAAACCCAUGCCUCACACAUUCUCAGAGAGACAAUGCACCUAGGAACCAAUGAACCAUUCUGUAGCUUAACCGACUAGGUUCAGUCAUCAUCUGGAAUGCCUCCAGGGGGCCAGGUGGGCCUAGGGGUUGAAGUCACCUGUGCCCAGAGAUACACUCCUGAGUUGCCGGAGUGGGGCUUUCAAAUCCAUAUGUCUCUCUUUUACAGGCCCUCUUUGCUGGAAAACGUAUGAAGCUAUCCUUCCUGUAAGAAGAGGAGUCUCCAUAGGGAAUGGCGAAGGCUAAACGUGGAAAUGCAAAGAUGUUAAUGGAAUCAAACGACUUUCUGAUUUCAAGUCUGACUACAAAACUAGACCAAUCACGAAGGCGUAGUUUUGUCACUGGGAUAGACAAAUAAACCAAUAGAAUAGGAUGGAGAGUUCCAGAAAUGAAUCCAAAUGUAUACGUCAUAAGAAGAAGAAGAAGAAUAUUUUCCAAAGUCUAUUCAAAUGUUAAACCAGCACAGUAAAUUAGGGCAACAGACUAAAUUAUCUUGGAGCAAGAGACUUUAUAUUUAAUUCUACUUCAAGUUUUGACCUCGAGAGAAAUCAUGCGCUCCAGUUUCCUCAAGGAUAUGGUUGUAAGUAUUUUGGCAGUUACACGUCAGGAUAUUUUUGUGUUUAAUAACGGUCAACCUUAGUACAAGGAGAAUGCCACGUGAAAAAUCGAUUUUUACAGUGGAUUGCAGGAUGCUGUAUCUCACCUGUGACCUAUGCCAUUUCUUUGUGCAUUCGGACACAAAACUUAACAAUCUAGUCCACACAGAGUGGCCGUUAACGCCCUGACUUUUGGGAAAGGUGGAAAGAUGUUAGCCUCAUAUUGCCUUAUUUUUUCUUGUGGUGAAGGGUGGAGUGAUGUGAGAAUAUGUGAUGUUUUUCCGAGGUUUCUGGCAACUGUCACACCUCUAACCAUGAUCUCAACUGGAGGACCCGAGCCAAUGAUUUCCCCAUUGGUUUUUUUCUCCCCCCUCAAAUAUAUGGGCUUGUAGCAGAGCUUAAAUCAUGGCUUGGUAAUGUAUUGAAAGCCGUGACUUGAAUAGCUCUGAAAUGCUCUGGUUUUGCUAAAAGGGUAAUGAAAUAAAUGAAUAGCUACAGAUUCUUCAAAACAGAUGUCGGUGGAGGGCUUUCCUCAUUGCACAACUCCAGGCAAAAAAUGUACGUAGCUUACUAUCAGACAGAUGACCCUGAGUUUACAACCAUUCAGCUUUCAAUGGUUUGAGAAAAAAGCAUAUGUAUCCGAUUUCUGUGCAAUCUUUUAGGUUCAUUCCUAACUUUUCUCCAGGAGGAAAAUUAUUUGCUAGUUAUUCAAGAGAACAUUACAUAAGCUUUCCGAUUUUAUGCAUCUUUAUACUUGACAUUUGUAGUAGAAUGAUUUGGUAAAAUGAUUUCUUCACACAUUUUGAACACGCACAAAUAAGUUACUAUUCAUAAUCUUGAAAAUACUCAAAAUCCUGCAAAAGAAAUUAUACAAAUAAAUUUCCAUUUGUACCAGUUACUGUGGUGACCUUUUCCUAUAGUUUUCCAAAUAACAAGUGACUUAACCUAUGUUUUCCAACAACAAAGACAAAAUAAAAAACUCCAGUUGAGCAAAGAGCUAUGCGACAGGGCCCAAAUGUCCUUCCAUACACUCCAACCCUGCCUGCUCCUGCCUCAGACCAUGUGUAUCCAGGUGGCCCUCCUGGUGGUGGAGUGCCUUGAUCUCAACCAAAGUCACAAUGGAAGAAUUUUAAUUCUUUUGUCAUUUAAUUCUUUUGCUGUAAUUGACAUUCGUCUUUGUAUCUAAUGCUUCAUCAUGUUUUUAAUUAUUUCCUUGGGUUAAGCAAAGAAAUGCUUGCUAGUAGAGGUAGAAUUGCUGUAUUUAAGGACUUUAUAAUUUUUUUAUGAUAUCACCUUUAUUUUGACUAAUUUCCCAUCAUAAAGUUAUAAUUUAUACCUUAUUGAUGCUCAGUGAGAAAUCUCUAACUCUGACCAGCAUUGGGCUUUGUCAUUUUUGCCACAUUUAGUUGAUUUAUAUAAAAUAAAACCCAGAGAAUUAAGUUGUU